GCGCAGAGAGACCUUUGUCAUCCACGCUGCCAAAAGGAGCACCUGGUACACCCUAUAGGUGUGCCUUGUGUUUCACGUGUUUUCAUUUCCUGUUUGUGUCAUCCCAAAAAGCAGGGACGGAGCAAAUGGGACUGGUUCCCACUGUUGCUGGGUGAAGGCUUUUUACAGGCUGCUGUAUUGAUGUCAUCUUUUUUUCACCCCAAGUUUGGCUUUUCCCAUGCUUUUCCCGUAGCUGCUGCAUUGGGUGUCCCCAGGAGGGCUGGGUUCCUCAGCAGGGGUCUUAGGAGUUGCUAUGGAUUCUGAUUUUUCUGAAGCUGUAUGGAAGUGUGCUAGCGAAUCAGCUCUUUUCUCUCCUGAAAAGCUUUCCAUCUAUGUCCACCCGUGCGUCUCUGUGUUUUAAUCACGUAGCCGGACGCGCUGAGGUUCUUACUUUCUAAGCCAAAAGCUGAAGCAGAUGACCGUUUGCUUUGUGUGUGUGAGGAGUGGCAUUUGUGCUGGAGAGCUGCGGUUGGGAACAAAAGAUGGACUUAAUGUGCUCUGGGGACGGGCACGGGAGGAAACGCACAGAAAGGCAAGGCAGUGAUGAUUGCGGAGGAGAAAUGAGAGGUGGUUGCUUCCGAUCCGUGGGGACUUUCCUUGGGAGUGAUCGAUCAGAGAGCGUAUGGAAGUAGAGAGCAUCUUCUGGCUGCUUCUGUUCUGUAAACUUCUCCCUGGCUUCACAGGUCCGUGCUGGAGAGUGGGAGAAGGGUCCCUGCUGGCUGCCGUGUCCUGGGUGGGCACAGAGCUCUGACCUCGGCCAGAUGGGCUGGUUUCCGGGUGUUUUGAUCCUGACGUCGCCAAAGCCUCAGGUUUGCUGAAUUGGGGCUCUUACCUGUGUGACCCGUGAAAUGUCCCGGAAGCUGAUCGAUGUCUUCCUGCUCCCGCUGUGUUCAUUUGGGCUGUGCUUCAGGCUUCUCUCCCUGGGCCCUUGCCGUUGCCGUAUCUCUUGGAUGCCGUGCAGAACGGAAUCAGGCAGCCAAGCCUCAGGUUCGCCUUCUCCCUCACCCUCUGCGCUGCUCGUGUGGCACAGCAGAUCCUGAAGCCAGAGGAGCACGUGUACAUAAGGGUAAAGAGAUUCCUUCUGUCACACCGGUAUUUGGACCUGAGGAAGGUACCAGGUUUUCUCCAGCUUUUCUACAGUUUUGAUUUUGAGUACAAAACAGCACGAGUGGAUCCUCAGAUUUCUUGGGGAAGGGCUGCGUGACAAACAUUGCUGUGAGCUCUGUGUCUACCAGAGGAUUUUCCGGGUCAUUCUUUCCCUUCUCAGCAGUCCUUUGUGUGACCAGGGCUCCCAGAGUCCUAUUCUGGAGAUACGACAGAGUGCUGCCCGUGUCACCUCUAGAGCUGCCCAUGAGCCGAUAGAGGAUCACAGCCUCCUCUCGUGGGUCCUGCACGGCUUAGAGAAAAGGACCUGCUGCACAGGAAGUGGCACAGCAAUGGAUUUGAGCUGUCUAGAACGUUACUUCUCCUCCCCUUGCCUCUCCCUGACAAAAAAAAUCUCUUCUGCAAGCACAGAGUGCCCUGACAGGUUCAGGCAAGUGCACCAAAAGUGCCCUAGAAUAUGGUCCCCCGUAGGAGAUGGACCAGCUGCUGGUGAGGAUCUGCCUUUCAAAUGUGGUUUUCUUUUCUUUUUUUUCUUUUUGUUCUGUUUCAUUUUGUUUUUCAGGUUUCUGGAGAACCAGGUGAUAAAUAAAAUGAUUUCCUUACUCCAUCCUUUGUGGCUAAUAAAUUUAGGAGACAAGAGAGAAAACAGGAAUCGAUCCCAGAUGCUGCUGUUGAGAUGGAUAUAUGAUCUAUCUAUCUGUAUAUAGAUAUAUGUAUAUACAUAUAUCUGUGUAGUGAUAAUAAUGGGAUUUUUUAUGAUACGUUGCUUCACCGUUUUAUAUUUUUAAUAAAGUGUGAUUUUAAGUUAUUAGUUAUGAUAUUUUAUUAUAGUUAUUGGCUAAAGUAACAUUUUCUUGUAUUUUAUUGGUAUCAAGUAAUUAAUGUUAAUCAUUAAUUGGUAAGAGUUUAUAAUGAAUUAUUAAGCUA